rnacentral:rRNA from 1 species
ACGCUCGACACCUACGGGAGGCAGCAGUGGGGAAUAUUGCACAAUGGGGGAAACCCUGAUGCAGCGAUGCCGCGUGAAGGAAGAAGUAUCUCGGUAUGUAAACUUCUAUCAGCAGGGAAGAAAAUGACGGUACCUGACUAAGAAGCCCCGGCUAACUACGUGUCAGCAGCCGCGGUAAUCUGAGCGGCUGGCAAGGC